GUCAAAUUAUUAAAUUACACUUACAAAAAAUCUAUUAGUAUAUAUAUAUAUAUAUAAAAAAAAUCAAUGGGGUUAAUUGACCCCAUUACUCACACAUAACUUCGACCCUGAAAUCAAAUCAAUAUGCGGAGCAAAAAAAAAACUUUGAUUAGGGUAAAAUAUACGAAUCAGGAUCCUCUAUGAGAUUUAUCGAUGAGGAUCUUGUGAG
rnacentral:lncRNA from 1 species